UUCUGAGGUGUUCAACUUAAAGUCAAUACCAUGGGAAAAAUAAUUAUCUUACUUCUGGUAGUUUGCAUGCUGAUUGGUGCUUCGGUUUCCGAACCAUUAAUGGUAACUGAAUCUGGUCCAAAAUCAUUCGCAAUGCAAGGUUCUUCUUCCUCUGGGUCUUCUGGUUCUUCUGGAGGCAGCGGCAGCAGUGGUGGCAGUAGCAGUGGUAGUAGCGGCAGCAGCAGUGGUGGUUCACAAACUUCAUCUGGUUAAGAUCUGGAUAAAGGACAAAAUAGAUUCAUUAUAUUCAAAGUUUUUAAAUAAA